rnacentral:rRNA from 1 species
GAAUCUUCCGCAAUGGACGAAAGUCUGACGGAGCAACGCCGCGUGAGUGAUGAAGGUUUUCGGAUCGUAAAACUCUGUUGUUAGGGAAGAACAAGUACCGGAGUAACUGCCGGUACCUUGACGGUACCUAACCAGAAAGCCACGGCCAACCACGUGCCAGCAGCCGCGGUAAUACGUAGGUGGCAAGCGUUGUCCGGAAUUAUUGGGCGUAAAGCGCGUGCAGGUGGUCUCUUAAGUCUGAUGUGAAAGCCCCCGGCUCAACCGGGGAGGGUCAUUGGAAACUGGGAGACUUGAGUGCAGGAGAGAAGAGUGGAAUUCCACGUGUAGCGGUGAAAUGCGUAGAGAUGUGGAGGAACACCGGUGGCGAAGGCGACUCUUUGGCCUGUAACUGACACUGAGGCGCGAAAGCGUGGGGAGCAAACAGG